rnacentral:rRNA from 1 species
AGCGAACGCUGGCGGCAGGCCUAAACAUGCAAGUCGAACGCCUGUAGCAAUACAGGAGUGGCAGACGGGUGAGUAACACGUGGGAACGUACCCUUGGUUCGGAACAACACAGGGAAACUUGUGCUAAUACCGGAUAAGCCCUUACGGGGAAAGGAUUUAUCGCCAGAGGAUCGGCCCGCGUCUGAUUAGCUUGUUGGUGAGGUAACGGCUCACCAAGGC